AAGCAGGGCUGUUACCACGGGUCCCAGCCCUGCUUUACCAGUUGCGAAACCUUAAGUGCCACACUACUUUGUGGUGUCCAGAGCUAAGGCUAAAUAGAAGGGACGUUGAGUUUUCUCUAUGGCUCGUCUGAGUGCCAUCACCUUUUAGGAUCCUCCCUGAUAGAGUGUCCAGUCAGAGUGCCAGGAGAGAGGGCAUGUUCCUGCAUCCUCCCAGUGUAAAGGCCAAAGCUCCAGGAGGGUGAGCGCCCGCGGUGCGCUCCCAGAGCCAGGCACCAGGCGUCGCCGUCGCCCCUCGCAGCUCCACGGCCCCGCCCCCGCCGCGGAGCUGGAGCUGGAGCCGGAGCCGGAGCCCUAGCCCAGAGCUGGAGGCGGCCGGACCGGGCCAGACAGAUUUCCUGCUCUCCUGUAGGGCUGAGGGCUGCCGGCUGCGGGCUACGGGCUGCGGGCUACAGGCUACGGGCUACGGACUGCGGGCUGCGAGAGAAGUCACCGGCGGCGCAGGUACCUCACUGCCUACGCGCGUCCCCACGACCCUCCCUCGCGCCGGCGGGGACAGCGGACGCCCCGGAGCGGAGCGCGUCGGGCGGGCGCCCGGGAGAUGCGGAGUCGCCGCGGCGGAGCGAUCGGGGCUACAGCACCGGUCCCUGGGAGGUGCACCAUGGAGCCCUUCUGUCCACUCCUGCUGGCAAGUUUUAGCUUGUCGCUCGCCAGAGCUGGCCAGGGCAACGACACCACCCCAACAGAGAGCAACUGGACCAGCACAACUGCAGGCCCUCCGGACCCUGGUGCAUCCCAGCCGCUGCUCACCUGGCUGCUGCUGCCCCUGCUCCUCCUCCUGUUCCUGCUUGCAGCCUACUUCUUCAGGUUCCGGAAGCAGAGGAAGGCCGUGGUCAGCAGCAACGACAAGAAAAUGCCUAACGGGAUCUUAGAAGAGCAAGAGCAGCAGAGAGUGAUGCUGCUGAGCAGAUCUCCAUCAGGCCCCAAGAAGUUCUUCCCCAUCCCCGUGGAGCACCUGGAGGAGGAGAUCCGGGUGAGAUCUGCGGAUGACUGCAAGCGAUUCCGAGAGGAGUUCAAUUCAUUGCCAUCUGGACACAUACAAGGAACCUUUGAACUAGCAAAUAAAGAAGAAAACAGAGAAAAAAACAGAUACCCCAACAUUCUGCCCAAUGAUCAUUGCAGAGUGAUUUUGAGCCAAGUGGAUGGAAUCCCCUGCUCUGACUACAUUAAUGCUUCCUACAUCGAUGGCUACAAAGAAAAGAACAAAUUCAUAGCAGCUCAAGGCCCUAAGCAGGAGACAGUGAAUGACUUCUGGAGAAUGGUCUGGGAGCAAAGGUCAGCCACCAUCGUCAUGUUGACGAACCUGAAGGAGAGGAAGGAGGAGAAGUGCUACCAGUACUGGCCAGACCAGGGCUGUUGGACCUACGGCAACAUCCGGGUGUGUGUAGAGGACUGCGUGGUCCUGGUGGAUUACACGAUCCGAAAGUUCUGCAUCCAUCCGCAACUCCCAGACAGCUGCAAAGCCCCGCGGCUGGUCUCACAGCUGCACUUCACCAGCUGGCCUGACUUCGGGGUGCCGUUUACCCCCAUCGGGAUGCUCAAGUUCCUGAAGAAAGUGAAGACACUCAACCCCUCACAUGCUGGGCCCAUUGUGGUUCACUGUAGGUUCAGGCAUCUUCCCAGGCUUGCCAUUUACUUCAGGGGAAUGUGACUCACGAGGUGGCAUCUUUCUCCUCCCUGAAGCGCGGGCGUGGGUCGGACUGGCACCUUCAUUGUGAUCGAUGCCAUGAUGGACAUGAUACACUCGGAGCAGAAGGUUGACGUCUUUGAGUUUGUGUCUAGAAUCCGCAAUCAGCGCCCUCAGAUGGUCCAGACGGAUGUUCAGUAUACAUUCAUCUACCAAGCCUUACUGGAAUACUACCUCUAUGGGGACACAGAGCUGGAUGUGUCCUCCCUGGAGAGGCACCUGCAGACGCUCCAUAGCACAGCCACCCAUUUUGACAAGAUCGGGCUGGAGGAAGAGUUCAGGAAGCUGACCAACGUGCGAAUCAUGAAGGAGAACAUGAGGACGGGCAACCUGCCUGCCAACAUGAAGAAGGCCCGCGUCAUCCAGAUCAUUCCAUAUGACUUCAAUCGGGUCAUCCUGUCCAUGAAAAGAGGGCAAGAGUUCACAGACUAUAUCAACGCAUCCUUCAUAGAUGGCUACAGGCAGAAGGACUACUUCAUGGCCACACAGGGGCCUCUGGCUCACACAGUUGAGGACUUCUGGAGGAUGGUAUGGGAGUGGAAGUCUCACACAAUCGUCAUGCUGACGGAGGUGCAGGAGCGGGAACAGGAUAAAUGCUACCAGUAUUGGCCAACGGAGGGCUCGGUGACUCAUGGAGAUAUAACUAUAGAGAUAAAGAGCGACACCCUGUCUGAAGCAAUCAGCGUACGAGACUUUCUGGUUACCUUCAAACAGCCCCUGGCCCGCCAGGAAGAGCAGGUCCGCAUGGUGAGACAAUUCCAUUUCCAUGGCUGGCCUGAGGUUGGCAUCCCCGCUGAAGGCAAAGGCAUGAUUGACCUGAUUGCAGCAGUGCAGAAGCAGCAGCAGCAGACGGGCAACCACCCCAUCACCGUGCACUGCAGCGCGGGAGCAGGGCGGACAGGUACAUUCAUAGCACUCAGUAACAUUUUGGAACGAGUGAAAGCCGAGGGACUCCUAGACGUGUUUCAAGCUGUGAAGAGCUUAAGACUUCAGAGACCACACAUGGUGCAGACCCUGGAGCAAUAUGAAUUCUGCUACAAAGUGGUACAAGAUUUUAUCGAUAUAUUUUCUGAUUAUGCUAAUUUCAAAUGAAGAUUCCUGCCUUAAAAUAUUUUUUAAUUUAAUGGUCAGUAUAUUUUGUAAAAAAAAAAAAAGAGAUCAUGUUAAUUUAUUUCCUAGUGGAUAUUAAUAUCCUUCCUAAUUCCUUUGUAUAUAUUUUGUUAUGUUCUAAAGGCUACCUGCUGUAAGGUUAUUAAAUUGUAAAUGCCCUUUUUAAAAAUUGGAAUAACAUGUUAAGGUCAAAUACUAUCUGGAAAGAUAUAUAUUUCUGCUAACACCAGUCAGUAUCUUAGUUCUAUUAGAUUCAUGUUAUGUGGUGUCCCACAUCAGGUGUCACAUGGUGUCACACAUCAUGCAUCUGUAAAUGUAGUUCUUAACAUGUCAAAUGUGUUUGUGAGAAGACACUAACCCCUGAAACCCCCUGUGGAGAAACCAGUAGAGGACUCCGAGUCAGAGCACAUUUACUCUCCCCACCAACUGUCGCACCCAGGGCAUCGGAAUGUGGCAAACAGUGUGCAUGGGGGCUUUGGUAGAGUCCUGGGUCUCAGCCAUGUGGUCCAUCCUUGCAUUUGAAAGAUCAGAGUGGAAGCAGACACGGCAGUGCAUCACUGCACUGCUAGCACGUGGGAGGCUGGGGCAUAAGGAUUUGGUCCAGGUCAGGCCAGGCCAGCUUGGGCUACAGUGAGACUCUGUAACACAACAAACAACAAACACCCAGAGGGUUUUGAAACCCAAAUCCAGGUCUCAGAUGUACAAGGUGUAGAUGGUGGUGACUUUCCUAUGAGUUUUAAAAGGCAUUCAUGAGAGGCUGUGUAGUGCCACUGUAGGCUUGAUAAAGAGAUGUGUUAUACCAGGCCAUCUAUUCUCACAGGCCUCCAGUACCCUCCAAACUAGCCAUCUGAGCUGUGUUCCUGGAACCACUUGCUGCCUGCCUGUGUGCCUGGCUCAGAAUCCACUCAAGCUCAUUCCCAACGGCCCGCCCACUGACACAGCUGCCUGUACUGACCCUAAUUGGGCCUACAGGCUCAACCACAGCUGCACACACACACACACACACACACACACACGGUAGAAUGGCCACAAACUGUUGCACUGUCAAUUUGCUGAUACUCAACCACAGCUGCACACACACACACACACACACACACACACACACACACACACACACACACACACACGGUAGAAUGGCCACAAACUGUUGCACUGUCAAUUUGCUGAUAGCCAUUUCAGGAUGUCAGAUUUUCUUUGUAAAAAGUUAAGAUGGUUUGUAAGAAAGGAAUUCUUAAAAAUCUAGAUUUGUACAGUUUUUUUCUUAAAUGUCCCACCUCUUGGUGUUUAAUUUUUAAAAAUGAGAGGGGGGGAAGAUCCUAAUCUAACUUACCUUUGGAGGAAAGGCUGCUGAGACCUCUGAGUUCAGGUGGCAGUGACAGGCGCACUGCCUGAGAGGGUAGGUUAGGAGGAGGGAGAGGAGGAGGAGGAAUGUAGAAACAUUGACUUCAAUAAAAAUUAUCUUCCUAUGGCAUUUAGAUACCUAGCAAAUGAGCACAAUGUAAAAAAAAAAAAAAAAAGACAUCUGGUCUAACUCAUUGAAGGCUUUGAACACAGUUUGGGAACUUUUUUUUUAAACUUUUUAAAAGAGAAAUGAAAAUACAAAGGCCUUAUCUCCAUGGAGGACUGAUCAUGCUCGCCUAUUGCACAGUUUGUUCUUGUUCGUGUACAAGGGACAACCCCAGGGUCUGUCACUGCUUCAUACAGGUGAACGGGUCACCACGCUUAUCUCAAGCCCCGCAGCUCUGAGUGUCCCAUCCAGAGGCACAAGCUGGCACUCAGCAUGCAGGAUGAAAGCAGACAGUGGCCACUGUCACCACCACCACCAGCUGCAGGCAGGGCUGGCUGCCUGUGCUUUGUGGGAGCUCCCCUUCUCUGAGCAGCCUUGGAGCACAGGCAGAAGAUGGAAGAUGGAGGAGCUUUCCCUGGCCAGUGGUCUCAUUUGUCUCCAUCUUAGACCCAAGCUCAACGCCUUGCUGUAACUGAAGCGGGACAGAGGGCAGUAAGCCCACUAGAAUUAAGGUGACCUCACAUGGGUCCCAAGCCAAAGUUCGGCCACGCACCUUGGCACCCCAACUUAGUUACUGGUCCUUAGAAUCCCAGGCAUCUCUUGUAUCAAGAAAUGCCUUAGGGUAGAUCUUUUCAGGAUGUCUAGAAAAGUAUUCUAAUGAGUGUUUUUCCUCACCUUGGGGCUGCCCCAGGUUCUCCUGCAGGCAGAGACCCUGCCUGUUUCUAAACAGCUUGUCUCAUUCCAGAGAAAAACAGAAGCCACGCUCCUGUGGGCACAGUUGGGGCAGCACUUGUACUUUGGAGGGGCCAAUCCCUCUAGUCUCUUGACUAAUGCCAUAGCAAAAUUCAGCCUCCGUAAGACACAGAGCCUCUGUGUACAAGGGGUCUCCUAGGGGGAGGAGGGCGGUCUCAGCAUCUUCUCUGUGUACCUGGCAUGUCCUUUUCUUCUUCCUUCAAAGAAGCUCCGGUGUUUAUGACACCGACAACCUUCUUAGUUCUCUGUUGCAUGCGGUUGUGCUCAACGCCAAACAGUCAUCAGAGCUGAGCGUUCUGAUCAGGUGCGUCUCUUGGUCACUGUGUGACUUGCUUUACUCUCUCUCCAUGGGCUGGAUGAACGAGGAAUGCACACCUGUGUUUUCCAAGGUAGUUUUAUGUGUUUUUAAAACCUUUUUAAAUGAGCCUGAUACCUGUGUUUCAGCAUUUGGCCACGUUGUUGGUUUUUGUUUUUCAUGUAUAUUUACUGAUAUAUUUUUGUUUGUAACCAAGUCAUGUUUAAUUUAUGUGCAAUCUUUAUAAUAUGUGUAUGUGUUAUGGUUCCAACUCUCAUAUAUUAUUCCUUGAUCACAUUUAUCGUUUGAUCUUGCUCUGAUUAUGCCAGUGUAUGUCGCUGAAUUCUUGAGACAUGUGAACUGCAAGAUUGAAAACAUCCGGAUUCGAGAAUAAAUCUCUGACUACCAGCCUGUA